rnacentral:rRNA from 1 species
UACGUAGGGGGCUAGCGUUGCUCGGAAUCACUGGGCGUAAAGGGCUCGUAGGCGGCCAACUAAGUCGGACGUGAAAUCCCCAGGCUCAACCUGGGAACUGCGUCUGAUACUGGAUGGCUUGAAUCCGGGAGAGGGAUGCAGAAUUCCAGGUGUAGCGGUGAAAUGCGUAGAUAUCUGGAGGAAUACCGGUGGCGAAGGCGGCAUCCUGGACCGGCAUUGACGCUGAGGAGCGAAAGCCAGGGGAGCAAACGGG